AGCGGGGUAGUGUAAUGGCAACAUAGAAGGCUCAUAACCUUCAGUUCCGAGUUCGAAUCUCGGCCCCGCAA
rnacentral:tRNA from 1 species